GCCUGGGUGGCUCAGUCAGUUAAGUGUCUGACUUCGGCUCAGGUCAUGACCUCAUGGUUUGUGGGUUCGAGCCCCGCAUUGGGCU
rfam:Felis catus isolate Cinnamon breed Abyssinian chromosome C2, whole genome shotgun sequence.